UACGGAGGGGGCUAGCGUUGUUCGGAAUUACUGGGCGUAAAGCGCACGUAGGCGGCUUUGUAAGUUAGAGGUGAAAGCCCAGGGCUCAACCCUGGGAUGCCGGUCGAUACUGCCGGACUAGAGUUCGGAAGAGGCGAGUGGAAUUCCCGGUGUAGCGGUGAAAUGCGCAGAUAUCGGGAGGAACACCUAUGGCGAAGGCAGCUCGCUGGGACGUUACUGACGCUGAGACGCGAAAGCGUGGGGAGCGAACAGG
rnacentral:rRNA from 1 species